ensembl:lncRNA
CUGCAUUGUUAUUUUGUCAAUCCGGGGCAGCAUGCCCUUGGCUCAGAGGAUGUUCCUUCUCCUAGUCCUGUCUGUAGGCAGAGGGUCAGAGAGCUGGAUCAUUUCCAUUAAGGCACGUUUCCUACAGCCUUGGCCUAUACGGCAGGCUGAUCUGUGUAUCUGAGGUCAUGCUGGGGUGGCUGGAAGAAAUCCAGAGUGUGCAGGGAAGGCCUGGAGCCUGCGUGGGGUGAGCAGUGUAUUGGGGUGGCUCUGGGGACAGUAUGAGAGCCAGACCUGAACUUCUCAACUUCUCAAUUCCAGAGAGAGGCAGGGAAAAGUGCUUCGGGAUGACCUCCUUGUUGCAUGAGAUUUCCUUCUUUCACUGGUGCUCUUGGGGUAAGAUGUGAUCCUGUUCUGAGCCAGUCUCAUCUUUGCAGAUUGAAGAGAAGCACAAGCAGGGCAGCUUUUAAACUGGCCUGAGAAAAAUAUUCAAUUCUUCUGUGGAUUUCACAUUGCAGACAACCUAAGAACAAACUGCAGAAGUGUGCUCCUUCUUUGAAGACUGCCACAGGUGGAGAUGGAGACCUCAGAGCAUGAGAGACUCUCCAGAUGUGUAAGGUGGCAGUAUCAUGGAGUCUCCCAGAUCAGCCACAAAAUGACAUUACUUUUUCUAAUGGGUUGCUCAGAGUCAGCCCAACCCACAGCAAAAGCCAGAGAUCUGUUGUGAGCAGGCCAGCCUGACCUCUAUGUCGGAACAAGCUACCACAGCUCAACAGGUGUGACAUCCCUCCUCAAGCUGUGGGACCACAUGCCUGAACCCCACAGACCCUUUUGUCACCUUCUGAACUCUAUUUGUGAACAGUGUGAAAAGCCUGCGGCAGUAGUGUUUAGAAAAACCACACCACUCUCUAACUUUCUGUGCUGGUGAUCUACAUGGAGGCAGAACUCAAAUUCUGGCUUGGUUUUGGUGAAGAAUAUACUUUAAUUAAUUAACAUUUGUUCCUCUCCUCAAAUAAUUCUACUCCCAGCUCUCACACAUCUAGUAACAGGGAGUACCCAUCCCAGAAAUUAUAAAGCUGCUUGCCAACUCCAGGAAAAUCAGUGUGAAAUCAACAAUAUGAAGCCCUGUGGAUUGUGCUCCUGCAAUGGACCAUUUCCUCUGUGCUGGCCGUUCAGAUGCAAGAUCGCACGAGCUAAUUUAGAUAAGAAAGAACUUUACAGCAGGGCUGUACGAUAAGAGAAUCCAGAAACUAGUGCUGAGGGGAAGAGAACAGAGUCCGAAGAAGGAAAGGGUAGGAGGAAUUUCCUGUUGAAAGGAAAGACGCACACACGUAUGCAAUCAAAAUAGCAGCCAGAAACCCACAAAACGUAUGGUUUCCCCCAAAGCUGACACUCACUUUAACAGUUCCUUAAGGGACAGGAGAGAAGGAUAAAUACAUUGUAGGGAAGGAUGGUAAACCAUCACCCUACCCAAAGCCACAAAUCUGUUGCUGUUAGUGGAAAAAUAUCUAUCAGUAACAGUAGUCAUGGUGUUUUUAAGGGCUUGAUCCAAUUUAUGGCAAUUGUUGGAUAGGAAAACUUCUGUUCCAUCCAUCAGUCUGGGUGGAUAAGGGCCCACAUCCUCAGCUGCUGCCCAAAAGCUGUGUAGCUCAUGAUCGUCUGUACAGAUAUGCUUUCCCAACACAAAGCUUAGCUGCCUGCCAGCAGUUCCCUCACUCUAAUUUUGGACUAGAGAUAGGAGAAAUAUUCCCAACAGUGUUGUUGUGGCACUGGGAUCAAAAUGAGUGUUAUCAGGGGAAAGGGUAGGAGGCAUCAGGCAGGUUUUUUUCCCACCAUCUCUCCUUUCUCCUUAUCUUUCUGUCUCACUGCCUGAAAAGUGGUAGCUAGAAUUUGUUGGUUUAAAAAAAAAAAAAAAAGGGAUGGGAUGGG